UUGCGCAAUGGGCGAAAGCCUGACGCAGCGACGCCGCGUGUGUGAGGAAGGCCUCAGGGUCGUAAACCCCUGUCAGGUGGGACGAACCACGGAUCGGUCAAUACCCGGUCCGCCUGACGGUACCACCAGAGGAAGCUCCGGCUAACUCCGUGCCAGCAGCCGCGGUAAUACGGAGGGAGCUAGCGUUGUUCGGAAUUACUGGGCGUAAAGGGUCCGUAGGCGGUCGGGUAAGUCGAGUGUGAAAUUCCGGGGCUCAACCCCGCGAACUGCAUUCGAUACUGCUCGACUAGAGAGAGGUAGGGGCGAGUGGAAUUCCCGGUGUAGCGGUGGAAUGCGUAGAUAUCGGGAAGAACACCGGUGGCGAAGGCGGCUCGCUGGGCCUUUUCUGACGCUGAAGCGCGAAAGCGUGGGGAGCAAACAGGAUUAGAUACCCUGGUAGUCCACGCCGUAAACGAUGGGUACUAGGUGUUGGGAGGAUUGACCCUCUCAGUGCCGACGCUAACGCAUUAAGUACCCCGCCUGGGGAGUACGGCCGCAAGGCUGAAACUCAAAGGAAUUGACGG
rnacentral:rRNA from 1 species